GGUGGUAUGGUCUAGUGGUAUGACGUCACGUUGUGGUUUACAACUCCGUGCCAGCCUGGGUUCGAUUCCCAGUACCGCCA